rnacentral:misc_RNA from 1 species
AGUUGAUAAACUAUAAAUACCUAUUUUUACGUAUUUUAUUGGAGACUUUUAUUAUGAUAUUAUUGACAAUUAAGAAUCAUUAAAAUUGGGAAUUUGUUUCUCUUGAUCCUUCUUCUUCUUGUUUUACACGAGCUAUAUUUUGUAAUACCUUUGAUGAUAGUAUCUAAACAUGGCCUUUGAUCCUGAUGAAUAUUUUUGGUUUAGUUUAUUGCUAGAGA